rnacentral:tRNA from 1 species
CAUUAAGAAGCUUAAAGGAAGCAACAGCCUUUUAAGCUGUAGACAGGUGUUACCCAAUCACCCUUAGUGA